AACGAACGCUGGCGGCAGGCCUAACACAUGCAAGUCGAACGCCCCGCAAGGGGAGUGGCAGACGGGUGAGUAACACGUGGGAACGUACCCUUUGGUUCGGAACAACUCCGGGAAACUGGAGCUAAUACCGAAUAAGCCCUACGGGGGAAGAUUUAUCACCGAAGGAUCGGCCCGCGUCGGGUUAGCCAGUUGGUGGGGACAAAGCCUACCAAGGCGACGAUCCGUAGCUGGUUUGAGAGGAUGACCAGCCACACUGGGACUGGGACACGGCCCAGACUCCUGCGGGAGGCAGCAGUGGGGAAUAUUGGACAAUGGGCGCAAGCCUGAUCCAGCCAUGCCGCGUGAGUGAUGAAGGCCUUAGGGUUGUAAAGCCCUUUCGCCAGGGACGAUAAUGACGGUACCUGGAUAAGAAGCCCCGGCUAACUUCGUGCCAGCCGCCGCAGUAAUAC
rnacentral:rRNA from 1 species